UACAGAGGUGGCAAGCGUUGUUCGGAAUUACUGGGCGUAAAGGGCGCGUAGGCGGCCUACUAAGUCAGACGUGAAAUCCCCCGGCUUAACCUGGGAACUGCGUCUGAUACUGGAAGGCUUGAGUAUGGGAGAGGGAUGUAGAAUUCCAGGUGUAGCGGUGAAAUGCGUAGAUAUCUGGAGGAAUACCAGUGGCGAAGGCGACUCGCUGGACAGACAUUGACGCUGAGGUGCGAAAGCGUGGGGAGCAAACAGG
rnacentral:rRNA from 1 species